rnacentral:rRNA from 1 species
AUUGAACGCUGGCGGCAGGCUUAACACAUGCAAGUCGAGCGGGGUGAUGGUGCUUGCACUAUCACUUAGCGGCGGACGGGUGAGUAAUGCUUAGGAAUCUGCCUAUUAGUGGGGGACAACAUCUCGAAAGGGAUGCUAAUACCGCAUACGUCCUAUGGGAGAAAGCAGGGGAUCACUUGUGACCUUGCGCUAAUCGAUGAGCCUAAGUCGGAUUAGCUAGUUGGUGGGGUAAAGGCCUACCAAGGCGACGAUCUGUAGCGGGUCUGAGAGGAUGAUCCGCCACACUGGGACUGAGACACGGCCCAGACUCCUACGGGAGGCAGCAGUGGGAAAUAUUGGACAAUGGGGGGAACCCUGAUCCAGCCAUGCCGCGUGUGUGAAGAAGGCCUUAUGGUUGUAAAGCACUUUAAGCGAGGAGGAGGCUCUUUUGGUUAAUACCCAAGAUGAGUGGACGUUACUCGCAGAAUAAGCACCGGCUAACUCUGUGCCAGCCGCCGCCGUAA